GGAUGCGAUCAUACCGGCACUAAAGCACCGGAUCCCAUCAGAACUCUGAAGUUAAGCGUGCUUGGGCGAGAGUAGUACUAGGAUGGGUGACCUCCUCGGAAGUCCUCGUGUUGCAUUCCU
rnacentral:rRNA from 1 species